rnacentral:rRNA from 1 species
GAUGAACGCUGGCGGCGUGCUUAACACAUGCAAGUCGAACGAGAGAAGAUCGGUGCUUGCACUGAUCCGAUCGAGUGGCGGACGGGUGAGUAACGUGUGGGUAACCUGCCUCAUACAGGGGAAUAACAGUUGGAAACGGCUGCUAAAACCGCAUAAGCGCACAGUAACGCAUGAUACAGUGUGAAAAACUCCGGUGGUAUGAGAUGGACCCGCGUCGGAUUAGCUAGUUGGUGAGGUAACGGCCCACCAAGGCAACGAUCAGUAGCCGGCCUGAGAGGGUGAACGGCCACAUUGGGACUGUGACACGGCCCAAACUCCUACGGGAGGCAGCAGUGGGGAAUAUUGCACAAUGGGGGAAACCCUGAUGCAGCGACGCCGCGUGAGUGAUGAAGUAUUUCGGUAUGUAAAGCUCUAUCAGCAGGGAAGAUAAUGACGGUACCUGACUAAGAAGCACCGGCUAAAUACGUGCCAGCAGCCGCUGUAA